GCCCGCCCCCACCUACCUCUCUCUCUCUCUCUCUCUCUCUCUCUCUCUCUCUCUCCGUGGACUGAAGGUUGUGUCGGUCCUCCCACAACCAGCCCGGGACCCCACACCGAUCUCAUUGCUGCCGUUCGGGCGGCUGAGGAUUUUGGAGCUCAGAGGGUGCGAUCUUUCGACAUCGGCCGCACGAGGGCUUCUUGAAUUGAGGCACACUCUGGAGAAGAUCAUUUGUCACAAUUCUACGAUUGAAGAAUCCUUGGAGGAGCUUGCACCAGCUUGCUGUUUAUGCAGACUCAGGUAUUUAUCAUGUUUGUAUGUGUGAGUCAUUUAUCUUUCCACCUCUUUAACAAUGUUUAUGUUAUUUGUGUUGUUGACAUUCUUCAGAAAUACCCUAUGCCAGAAUGCGAUAUUUGGUUUAUCAAGUUUUCAUGCGAUUUUCAUUACAAUGUGGCAGCAAUAGAAUUUUUUAUUCCGCAUUUGGGGAAGAGAGAGUCUGCGGUCCUAGGCUUAGUAUUCAGUAUAGGGUAUUGAAGACAAUGAUCUGCUAGUCGAGUCCGCCCGCAUAGUUUUAUAAAAGAGAAAAUGUUAUAUUAUACGAUAGGUGAGGCCCAUUUCUUUUUUGUGGUGCCCACCUGAAUCAUUGUACAGUUUUUUGGUAGAUUCAACAAAGAUACAAGUGGUGUGAUCCCAUCUUUCUUAAAAAAGAAGAAGAAGCAAAUCAAUCAUAAUUUCUUUGUUUCCCUUGGUAACUUGGGGCGGCACAUAAUAACUUCUUUUCUUUUCUUUUUAUUACAUUUUGUACAUAUAGGUCGAAUUUGGAAUGGAUGUGAAUUUUGUGUA